rnacentral:snoRNA from 1 species
UUGCAGCCCAUUGAGCCAACUGUGGUCUUUUCCCCAUGGGGGCCUAGUGUGCCAGGGCUGCAAACAGCAGCCUCCUUAGUAGUGUUGGAAGCCUGUAGCCUGUACUGGUUGCCCUAAGUUACCUUGAAGACAGCC